ACGAACGCUGGCGGCGUGCUUAAAACAUGCAAGUCGAACGGAGAUUUUAGAGAGCUUGCUCUUUGAAAUCUUAGUGGCGGACGGGUGAGUAACACGUGAGCAACCUGCCUAUCACAGGGGAAUAACACUUAGAAAUAGGUGCUAAUACCGCAUAAGCGCACAGCUUCACAUGAAGCAGUGUGAAAAACUCCGGUGGUACAGGAUGGUCCCGCGUCUGAUUAGCCAGUUGGCAGGGUAACGGCCUACCAAAGCGACGAUCAGUAGCCGGCCUGAGAGGGUGAACGGCCACAUUGGGACUGAGAUACGGCCCAGACUCCUACGGGAGGCAGCAGUGGGGAAUAUUGGGCAAUGGGCGAAAGCCUGACCCAGCAACGCCGCGUGAAGGAAGAAGGUCUUCGGAUUGUAAACUUCUUUUAUGAGGGACGAAGGACGUGACGGUACCUCAUGAAUAAGCCACGGCUAACUACGUGCCAGCAGCCGCGGUAAUACGUAUGUCGCAAGCGUUAUCCGGAUUUAUUGGGCGUAAAGCGCGUCUAGGCGGUUUGGUAAGUCUGAUGUGAAAAUGCGGGGCUCAACUCCGUAUUGCGUUGGAAACUGCCAAACUAGAGUACUGGAGAGGUGGGCGGAACUACAAGUGUAGAGGUGAAAUUCGUAGAUAUUUGUAGGAAUGCCGAUGGGGAAGCCAGCCUACUGGACAGAUACUGACGCUAAAGCGCGAAAGCGUGGGUAGCAAACAGGAUUA
rnacentral:rRNA from 1 species